rnacentral:rRNA from 1 species
GAUGAACGCUGGCGGCGUGCUUAACACAUGCAAGUCGAACGAAGUGGCGAACGGGUGAGUAAUACGUGGGUAACCUGCCCUCCUUUUUGGGAUAAGCCUUGGAAACGGGGUCUAAUACCGAAUAAAGGGGGCUGGGCUCGCGGCCUAUCAGCUUGUUGGGGGGGUGAUGGCCUACCAAGGCGGUGACGGGUAGCCGGCCUGAGAGGGUGACCGGCCGGAUUGGGACUGAGUUACGGCCCAGAAUCGUACGGGAGGCAGCAGUAGGGUAUCUUCGGCAAUGGACGAAAGUCUGACCGAGCAACGCCGCGUGAGUGAAGAAGGUUUUCGGAUCGUAAAACUCUGUUGUAAGAGAACGGGUAGGUGGAGAAGAAGCGCCGGCUAACUACGUGCCAGCAGCCGCGGUAAUAC